AUUUGUAGAAGUCUCUCUACACCAACAUGAGCUCUACUAGGUUUUUAGGACACUUUGUUAAAAUUCUUACCCUUCGUUUCUUUAAACCUUGAGCCAUGGCCCCAUUACAACCCUUGAUAAGACCUUCUUGAUCCUUAAGAUGGGAUAGCCCUUGAUGUGGAGAUGAGUUACAAGAGUUGAACCUAUGGCUUGGGUCCAUCUGUGCAAGUAGUUGAUAUCCUUCAUGAGAUCUUUAAAAGAAAAAAUACAUAUGCUUUCGUUUCUUGCAUUAUGUGAUAUACUUGCUAUCUUUCACAUAUACUUGAGUGUAUAAGCUUUUAAGCAUUGCCAUGAUCUGAGAGAAGAAAGAGUGGAUAUGCCUUGUGAGGAUUGAAUCAAACUUGUUUGAAGCAUGCUUAACAGAACCCAUCACCAUUGUUACAACCAAGUCCUACUUGUGUGUGUGAAGAUUAUGUGUUUUAAUUAACCCUCGAAUGCUUAAACAUUGAUUCUUGGUUGAGUGCUAAUCUUGGUGUUGUGAAAGUAAGAGAUUGCUGAGACAAAAAGUUGAAGGGCAAUAGAGUCAUUGUUUGUGUAGAGUCUUUAAAUUUUCGUUGAGUCUUAGUUGAGUCUUUGUGUGAUUUUGCUAAGGGACUAGCAAAAGCUAAGUGUGGGGGAAUUUGAUAGGAGCAUUUUAAUGCGACGUUUUAACUGUUAUUUCCCUAUAUUUUCUGCGUUAUUUCCUUAAUAAAACUCUGUUUAGGAAAGUUUCCAUUCUUCGAAUGGGAAAGUUCCUAAUUGUAGAAAGUUUCCGUUUUGUUUUUGGAAUAAAUAAGCUGAAUUGA
rnacentral:lncRNA from 1 species